UACGGAGGGUGCAAACGUUGCUCGGAAUCAUUGGGCGUAAAGCGCACGUAGGCGGCCCGUUAAGUCGGAUGUGAAAUCCCUCGGCUCAACCGAGGACGUGCAUUCGAUACUGGCAGGCUUGAAUAUGGAAGAGGGUCGCGGAAUUCCCGGUGUAGAGGUGAAAUUCGUAGAUAUCGGGAGGAACACCAGUGGCGAAGGCGGCGACCUGGGCCAAUAUUGACGCUGAGGUGCGAAAGCGUGGGGAGCAAACAGG
rnacentral:rRNA from 1 species